GGUGGCUCAGUGGUAGAGUGCUUGCCUCAUAUGCAUGAGGCCCUGGGUUCGAUUCCUUAGCACCA
rnacentral:tRNA from 1 species